rnacentral:tRNA from 1 species
GUCUCAAUAACUCAGUGGUCUGAGAGCUGGCAUGGUACGCAAAAGGCCCUGGGUUCGAGUCCUGGUUGAGACU